GGUGUCUAGGAAAUGCAGAUGUAUAGUAUGUACGUAUCAUAAAAAUGUGCUGAAUUGCGAGAAACUCUGAUCACUGAGAUAGGAAUCUGUUGCUAAUUUUUUUGAGGUGCUUGAAGGGGCAUAGCCAUAGAGGAAUAAGAAGUGAGUAGCGAGCCACCAGGAAAGGUUGAUUGACAGUCACAGCCAUCUUACCAUUUGUUGACUUUGGCAACUAGGGAGAAUUGAAGCCAAAUUUAUUUGGAGCGUGAGGGUAAUAUGAACAUUGGUUGUGCCCAUCAAUAACUGGUCAGGUGCUUAUUUUCUUUGGCCCUAUGUUCUCUAGGCGAAACUUGCUUUCGACGGCCUUGAAGUUCCAGUUGGGUAAGAAACUGGUUUUUGGAAAACAGCUGUGUGAUUGUUGAGGAUGGGCAUGUUAUUGCAGCAAGAAGAAACCCGACUAGUGAGACAUGAAAUGCCUUAUGUCAGCUAGACUAUUGGUAUACUCAUUUGGUAUAAAAAUGCACCGUGAGCAUUGUAUUGCCUUUUGAGAUGCAACAAGACAUGCAGAGAUGGAAGCUCUUGAUAUUGUUUUUGAAUAGUGGCAAAGGACUGGAUUAUUGGCUGCAGAAGUUGCAGAGAAGUUUUCAGUAUGCUCUCUUUAUGGGACAUGUGAACCUUGCACAAUGAAAAUAAAUGGAGUAAUGGAAAUUCUGGAUCAAAGGGUUUCAAACGUUGUGGAGGUAUAAUGGCAUCAGAAGCAAUUCCUCUUCUGCGAGAUUUUUAUGAACAAGGAAACUCUAAUGCUCCAAAGCCUCAGGUCACGAUGGGUAAAUCAUGCUUCUCAUUGGAUAUGCCUGCAUUGAUUCAUCUUGUUGACCACUCUCAUGCCUUUGCACAAUUAGAAUUUCAUCAAGGAAUCCGAGGAAGGAAGUGUGAUGCAUGUCCAGAUCAGUUUUUGCCCAGAUGUUCAUGUGUUUACAGAGGGUUGCAGAUGUGAUCACAAGCGAUUUCAUGCUUGAACUUGAUUGUCAGAUUGUUUAGAUAAUUUUACGGCAUAAACCUGUGUAGGCAUCAGUUUUCUUCUGAGGUUACUUUUUGUCAUCUAUAUAUUCUGUGAUGGAGUUUGAUUUGAGUUUUUCUAACUUUGAGAUAAUUCUAGGCGUGCUAUUGAUAAUUCUGAGAUUUAUAGUUCUAGACUAUGUCCUAUGUGAUCCCUAACAUGAUAGAAGAGGCAAAGGAUAUGCAUGUGUUUUUGCAUGGAUUUCACUGGAUUCAAGUUUCCUAGUUAUACCAAUUAUGUCCUAAAUACUUGAAUUUAUACUA